AUUGAACGCUGGCGGCAGGCCUAACACAUGCAAGUCGACCGAGUGGCGGACGGGUGAGUAAUGUCUGGGAACCUGCCUGAUGGAGGGGGAUACCUACUGGAAACGGUAGCUAAUACCGCAUACCCUCGGCUGUGCCCAGAUGGGAUUAGCUAGUAGGUGGGGUAACGGCUCACCUAGGCGACGAUCCCUAGCUGGUCUGAGAGGAUGACAAGCCACACGGGAACUGAGACACGGUACAGACUCAGACGGGAGGCAGCAGUGGGGAAUAGUGAACAAUGGGCGCAAGCGUGAUGCAGCCAUGCCGAGUGUAUGAAGAAGGGCUUCGGGGUGUAAAGUACUUGCAGCGGGGAGGCGUUACCCGCAGAAGAAGCACCGGCUAACUCCGUGCCAGCAGCGGCGGUAAUAC
rnacentral:rRNA from 1 species